AUUGAACGCUGGCGGCAUGCCUUACACAUGCAAGUCGAACGGCAGCACGGGUGCUUGCACCUGGUGGCGAGUGGCGAACGGGUGAGUAAUACAUCGGAACAUGUCCUGUAGUGGGGGAUAGCCCGGCGAAAGCCGGAUUAGUACCGCAUACGAUCUACGGAUGAAAGCGGGGGACCUUCGGGCCUCGCGCUAUAGGGUUGGCCGAUGGCUGAUUAGCUAGUUGGUGGGGUAAAGGCCUACCAAGGCGACGAUCAGUAGCUGGUCUGAGAGGACGACCAGCCACACUGGGACUGAGACACGGCCCAGACUCCUACGGGAGGCAGCAGUGGGGAAUUUUGGACAAUGGGCGAAAGCCUGAUCCAGCAAUGCCGCGUGUGUGAAGAAGGCCUUCGGGCUGUAAAGCACUUUUGUCCGGAAAGAAAUCCUUGGCCCUAAUACGGUCGGGGGAUGACGGUACCGGAAGAAUAAGCACCGGCUAACUACGUG
rnacentral:rRNA from 1 species